GAAUAUGAUUUUCGUGUCCCUUUCUUAUCCUACGUGUCACAAAUAUUACAUAGAUUUCUCUUAUGACAUUGGAGCUAUUUGGCAUAAGUUUUAAAAAAUUGAUUUCUGCCAAAUUAAUUUUAGUUAAAAAAUUAUAAAGCGUUUGAUCGAAUCCAACAGAAAAGCAAUCUUUCUGAAGUGAUUAUAGAAAACUGUUUGAAGGGUACGUUAGAUACUAUUCUUUAAGAAAAGAAUUGUACACUGAUU
rnacentral:lncRNA from 1 species